UACAGAGGGGGCAAGCGUUGUUCGGAAUUACUGGGCGUAAAGGGCUCGUAGGCGGCCAACUAAGUCAGACGUGAAAUCCCCAGGCUCAACCUGGGAACUGCGUCUGAUACUGGAUGGCUUGAAUCCGGGAGAGGGAUGCAGAAUUCCAGGUGUAGCGGUGAAAUGCGUAGAUAUCUGGAGGAACACCGGUGGCGAAGGCGGCAUCCUGGACCAACACUGACACUGAGACACGAAAGCGUGGGUAGCAAACAGG
rnacentral:rRNA from 1 species